CGUUGAAACACCGGUUCAGCGAAGUUAAGCAACGUCGAGCCUGGUCAGUACCUAGAUGGGUGACCGCUUAGGAAUUCCAGGUGGUGUAA